UCCACCACCUCCUGCCGCGCAGCCUCGUCACAUCACGGUGCGUAUGCAAGGCGUGGCCGCCAUCGUCGACGGCCGCCGGCUGCUGCUCAAAUCCUCUCAAUCCUGGAAGAUAUUUGAUUGCUUUGAUGUUGAUCCUAUUGGAUCCGCUUUGAUAGUUGGUGGGACUUCGUCGAUCUCCCCAUCUUCCGUUGUGACGCAAUCGCUCCCCGGCAAUCUACUCUUCUCCUCCCAUUCGAUUCCACUCCUACACCACCCAAACCACCUCGAUGGCGUCUACUGUGUUUGUUCUCCCGCAACUUAUGGCUACAAUAGUUCCAAGAUUAAUCCCCGCAGAGUACUCCUACAUUGCUCCAAAAUAUCAUUGAAUCAAUCUUACAAUCCCCGCAUAGUACUCCUUACGAGGGAGGGCAAGGUGCUUCGGUUCUUGGAUGACCUUUGAAGGAAUUGGGAGCAAGGAGGCGUGGGAAAGGGGUGAACCGAGUGGUCGACAUCGGCUACAGCGAACCAGUGGAGCAGCAACGGAGCACUGGCCACGGCAGCACCACAUGGAAAGGGGAAAGGCAAGGUCGCCGAGCUUGAGUAGGAGGCUUUUGAUGAAGCCAUCUCGAAGCUGGACACCCUGAGCGAGGAGUCCUACAUGAACACCACUUUGAUCAUGCAACUCCUUCAUGCACACUUGAUCCUCUGGACUUCCGAUAUCUCAGUAAUCUUCCAUUUCUCAAACAUAAAGUUCUGCUCACACUCUUUACUUUAUCCUGAAAUCACCCCGAUUCCUUAAAAG